rnacentral:rRNA from 1 species
AUGUGCUAUGGGGUGUACUUCGCCGCCAAGAAGCUGAAGCCCUACUUCCAAGAGCAUCCCAUCACGGUCGUGUGCACCGCCCCGCUCGCCGUGAUCAUAGGCAGCCGGGAUGCAUCCGGCCGGGUGGCUAAGUGGGCCAUUGCGUUGGCACCAUACACGAUCUUCUACCAACCCCGCACCGCCAUCAAGUCCCAAGCAUUGGCCGACUUCCUCGUCGACUGGGCCGAGACCCAGUACCUACCGCCGGCUCCCGACUCUACCCAUUGGCGGAUGCACUUUGACGGGUCCAAGAUGCGCACCGGCUUGGGAGCCGGCAUCGUCCUCACCUCUCCCAAAGGCGACAAGCUCAAAUACACGCUGCAGAUCCACUUUGCCGCCUCCAACAAUGUGGCCGAGUACGAGGCGCUCGUGCAUGGGCUCCGGCUAGCCGAAGAGCUCGGCAUACGCCGGAUCCUGUGUUACGGCGACUCAGACUUGGUGGUCCAGCAGUCGUCGGACGCGAACAUGGCAAGCUAUCGAUUCCUUGUCCAGCAGAUCAGCGGGUACUUCGAAGGGUGCGAGUUCCUUCACGUGCCAAGGGCCGACAACGACCAAGCAGAUGCCCUAGCACGGAUCGGCUCCACCCGACAAGCCAUACCGACUGGCGUCUCCCUCCAGCGCCUCCACAAGCCGUCCAUCAAGCCGUCUCUAGAGUCGGACUCUAUCUUCGUACCACCUGUGCCAGAUGCAGCCGGAUCCAACUGGAGGAACCCCGCAGGCAGCACAGGGACUUCGACAACUGGCCCGGGGACUGCUGUAGUCGCACCCGGCCCGGGGACUUCAGAACCCGGCCCGGGGACUGCAGCAGUCGGCCCGGGGACUGCAGCAACACAAGAACCGGUGGCCGACUCCAAUUCCACGCCACCCAACCCACCCACCCGAGUCAUGGUGGCUACACUAACUGAAGAAGAAGUCACAGCUCCAUCAUGGGCCCAGCCCAUCCUCAAGUUCCUAGUCAGCAGAGAGCUGCCGGCUGAUGAGAUCUCAGCAAGACUAGUGCAACGACGAGCCGGAGCAUAUGCAAUAAUCAACAGAGAGCUUGUGAAGCGCAGCGUCACUGGAGUCUUCCAGCGUAGUGUCGAGCCAGAAAAAGGAGUGGCAAUCCUCAAGGAUAUCCACCAAGGCGAAUGCGGCCACCACGCAGCCUCAAGAUCACUUGUGGCCAAGGAUUCCCGCCAUGGUUUCUUUUGGCCGACUGCCUUGGAAGAUGCCAAAGAGAUAGUCAAGAGCUGUAGAGGAUGCCAAGUCUUCAGUUCCAAGCAACACCUGCCGGCUUCUGCACUCAAGACCAUUCCCCUCACCUGGCCCUUUGCCGUCUGGGGACUGGACAUGGUGGGCCCUUUCAAGACAGCCCGCAGUGGCUUGACACAUCUACUUGUCGCUGUGGACAAGUUCACAAAGUGGAUCGAACGAAGCCGGUCAAGAAGCUGA